GUCCCGCUGUCCCUUCCCCUCUCCUCCUGCCUCUAUGAGAGUGUUCCUCCACCCACCCACCAACUCCCUUCCAUCUCCCCAAAUAUCUUAUUAUUAAAAAUGGUUUUGAGCGGAGAUGAAAUCUCCCAAAUGAAGGAAUUAAAAAUAAGAACAGGAUAAGGCAGAGAACCAUUUUUCUUCCUAAAAACUUGCAAUAAAUUGAGAUCAAGAAAUAUAACACAUUGUGAAAUAAAUCAGAAGUCUUAUGACAUCUCUUAAUCUUUUAUAACAUGUUUUUGGACUUGAUUUAUAUAUUUAAAAUAACUAUCAAGGUAUUCUUUAAAUGUUAAAAUAUAAAUCACAGACAAAGGCUUGAUUUAUAUUAGUGGAUGUGAGGGAUGUGUCAAAUGAUUGCUGAUUUUUGUAACAUUCCCUGGACAGGGCGACAGAUCCACAGAGCACAGGAGGAACGGCUGCUUCAUGCGCCAUCUGCUGACUUGUAGGUGCAGGCUGUCUCCGAAGACAUGGUAGAAGCUUGAUAGGAACUCGUACUUCUCUUUCGGAUCUCUCCAGCUUUAUUGAAAUCUUCUGUGCAGGUCCCAGCCACUCCAUGUCUCCAUGGCAGAUCAGAUGCGGGUGGCUGUCUGCGAGGAGAGUAUAGAACAUGGAGCAGAUUGUCUUCUUAGGUAAACCUUGGUUCUCUGAUAUUUCCCAAUAAUGACUACAUCACCUGGCCAUUAAGGCACCGCUGCAAACAGACAAACAAACAAACAAAAACAACAACAAAAAAACCACCGCCACCACCAACAACAACCAAAAAGGGCACCACUGCUCCAUAUUUUCCUCUUCCAAUCUGAGGACCUUUUGUUGGUUUUGUGAACCAUAUCCAUCCUCCUGGUCCUUUUGCAUGGCUGUUGUCCUCCUCCUCUUCUGAUCCUCCCGGUCUCCCCUUAAAUAUCACUGCCUUAAGAAUCCUUUCUGAUCUCCUUUCCUACAGAGAUCCCCUUACCCACUGCCCUGUUCAUUUCCUGACACUUUAAAAAUAGUUCUUCCUAGAGUGUUCACUUCAUUAUUUGCAACAGUAGUGUGCUCUUAAAGGCAAGCAGUAUGCACUCUAGAAAAUUAUUAGAUAAGCAAAUAAAGAUCUGUAAGAUUGCAUUUGAAAAAAAUUACCUGAAUUUUAAAAAGUAUGAGAAGCAUUGCUUUAAAUCAAUGAUUCUCAUUCUUCCUUAAUGCUGUGACCUUUUAAUGCAAGUUUCUCAUGUUGUGAUUACCCCAAUGAGAUUAUCUUCAUUGCUACUUCAUAACUGUAAUUUUGCUGCUAUUAUUAAUCACAAUAUAAAUAUCUGAUAUGCAAAUGGACUUAGGCAAUCCCUGUAAAAUGGUUGUUUAAUUCCCCAAACGGGUUGUGACCCACAGGUUGAGAACCACUGCUUUAAAUGAAAAUGUCCAUAAACCCAGGAGAUAUUGUUACACAUAUAAGCUCCUUGUGAUGGUUCAGUAAGCUGGCUGUAGGGUUCUGCACUAGAACUCACACUCAUGGAUGUUCUCAGUCUCCCUUUGUUUGCAGGUGCACACGGGCUGACACUCUGCAGAUGCAAACGUGCCGUUGAAACAAAGCAAGAGUGCUGUGUGGCUCCCAGAGCCUUGCCUGGGCCUGCGUUUCCUCCUCUUCCACUCAAGACUCACGUUAGCAGGGUUUUCCUGUUUCUAGACAACAGUCAUCAGCAUCAGAGAAGAAGGACUUGAAUUGUCUCUGACUUUCAGAACAGGGUUACAGACAACAUAGACAAACUCCGGGGAGAAUUUAUUGGAUGAAUAGUCAAAGCCUGAGAUCUAGGAGCUGGAGCAGUGAGCAGGUUGAUGCUACAAACUGGAUCCCGGGGCUCCCGAAGCCGAGUCUAAGGACCUUUCCUCUGCAGCUGACGCCUUCACGCCUGGUCUUUGGUGACUUGUCAUCAGCCCUCAGGAAGACAGGGCUGUGCCCUACAGCACGGACACCGAUAUCAUCAUUUCUCUGUAUCAGGCACUUCUCAGGCAAAGGGAAUGUUGGGAGAGGAAUGCAGUUUUUAAAGUUUUUUUUUAAAUUGAUAUAUUUUAUUUGAACUGUUAUAUAGUAUAGAAACAUUUUGUAGAACAGCAAAUGUUAUUAAUUUAGAAAGCGGUUUACCAUAAAAGAGAGACAUGGAAAAUAUUCAUGUGCUGGGCUGGAGGAGUGCUUGGCUGGUAUGUGUGAGGUCCUGGGUUCAAUCCCGAGGAAACCUCCUCCCCACAAAGGAAAAAAAAAAGCAGAAAAUGUUACAUGAUGACAUUUCAGAAUUCACUGCAAGUUUUUGAAGGUUCUGUGGAGGAUGAUUGACAUAAACUCCACAUAUUUGAAGGACAUGGUUUGGUAUAUUUUGGCACAUAUUGUACACAUCUGGAAAACUGCCACCUUGAUGAAGAUAAUGAGUUUACCUCACCCCUGGAUGUCUCCUUGUGCCUUUGCCUUUGUAUUCCUUCCCUGGCCUUGCUGUUCCUAAGCGCCUACUGUUUAUGUCCCCUGGAUUGGCUUGCAUUCUUUAGAGUAAAUAGGAUCAUACAAUGCAUAGUUCUCUGUGUGGCUUUUCUAAUCAGCACAGCUACUUGGAGACUCACCCAUGCUGCAAUGCAUAGCACUGCUGUUUCUUUGUAUGGAUGACUAACGCUGAACGGAAUAUAUGGCUUGCUUAUCUGUUUACUAGUUGGCAGGCAUUUUACUUAUUUCUCUUUGGGGCUGUUACCAUAAAAAUGUUAUGAGAAUUUAUGUGCAGGUGUUUACACACACACACACACACACACACACACACACACACACACACCUUUUGUGUAAACUAGAAGUAGAAUGACUAAGUCAUACUGUAGAUGUGUAUUUAAUGUUUUUAUAAAUUGCCUAGCAGUAGCGAUUGCACCAUUUUAUAUUCCUACCAGAAAUGUCUGAUAUCUGCACUUGUUCCAUAUCUCCACAAACACAUAGUAUAUGCCCAGCAUUUACUUGGAUAACAGUACUUUAGAAAGGGAAACAAGACAAUUUAAAAAACAAAACAAAACAAUGGAAA
rnacentral:sRNA from 1 species